rnacentral:rRNA from 1 species
AGCUCUAAUAGCGUAUGUUAAAGUUGCUGCAGUUAAAAAGCUCGUAGUCGAAUUUUGGGUGUGGUCGGGUGGUCCAUCGCUUCGGCGGUGCGUACUGCCACGUACCACGCCCCUCCUCCCGGCUGAAGCGCGGUGUGUGUUUUCGGACGCGCGCUGCGUGGAGUGCCGGGACGCUUACCUUGAAAAAAUGAGAGUGUUCAAAGCAGGCCAUGUGCCGGAAUCAUUGCGCUGGGAAUAAUAGAAUAGGACCUGUGGUCUUGUUUUGUUGGUUUUUGGGACCGCGGUAAUGAUGAAUAGGGAUAGCGAGGGGCAUUCGUAUUUCUCAGCUAGAGGUGAAAUUCUUGGAUUUGAGAAAGACGAACCUAGGCGAAAGCAUCUGCCUGUGAUGUUUUCA